GUCCACACGGUAAACGAUGGAUACUCGCUGUUGGCGAUAUACUGUCAGCGGCUUAGCGAAAGCGUUAAGUAUCCCACCUGGGGAGUACGCCGGCAACGGUGAAACUCAAAGGAAUUGACGGGGGCCCGCACAAGCGGAGGAACAUGUGGUUUAAUUCGAUGAUACGCGAGGAACCUUACCCGGGCUUAAAUUGCAAAAGGAAUAAAUCUGGAAAACAGGUUACUCUUCGGACCUUUGUGAAGGUGCUGCAUGGUUGUCGU
rnacentral:rRNA from 1 species